CUAAUACCGGAUAUGACACACGGCCGCAUGGUCUGUGUGUGGAAAGCUCCGGCGGUGCAGGAUGAGCCCGCGGCCUAUCAGCUUGUUGGUGGGGUGAUGGCCUACCAAGGCGACGACGGGUAGCCGGCCUGAGAGGGCGACCGGCCACACUGGGACUGAGACACGGCCCAGACUCCUACGGGAGGCAGCAGUGGGGAAUAUUGCACAAUGGGCGCAAGCCUGAUGCAGCGACGCCGCGUGAGGGAUGACGGCCUUCGGGUUGUAAACCUCUUUCAGCAGGGAAGAAGCUUUUAUCGGUGACGGUACCUGCAGAAGAAGCACCGGCUAACUACGUGCCAGCAGCCGCGGUAAUACGUAGGGUGCGAGCGUUGUCCGGAAUUAUUGGGCGUAAAGAGCUCGUAGGCGGCUUGUCACGUCGGAUGUGAAAGCCCGGGGCUUAACCCCGGGUCUGCAUUCGAUACGGGCAGGCUAGAGUUCGGUAGGG
rnacentral:rRNA from 1 species